AUGGAACACAGUUUUUGAUCCAUGCCCCCUAGUGAUUCCGGGGUCGCCGGCGAGCGCCUAUGACAUCACCGGGACUCUCUGGGUGCAGUGGAGGAAUCGUGCAUGCGGUGGAUCCGUAAGAAGACGCAUGGUUGCUAUGGCAACCACACACAGAACCUCGAUCUCCGCUGGCGGACGUGGCCCUAUGACGUCACCGGCGCAUCGAAGCGGCGUCAAGGCAGCACGAGCACCGGGACGGACGCGGGAAGCGGACGCACAGCGGAAUCGUCUCAGCAAGAAAAUUCAUCAUUACAGAGGCGCUGUGGAUAUUCCAUAUAACGUAUGUCCUAAAUGGACAUUUUUGGAAGGUUUAGACAAAUACAA